UGGGGGUUAUUGCACAAUGGGCGAAAGCCUGAUGCAGCGACGCCGCGUGGGGGAUGAAGGCUUUCGGGUUGUAAACCUCUUUCGCUAUCGAACAAGGCCCGCUUAGGGUGGGUUGAGGGUAGGUGGAGAAGAAGCGCCGGCUAACUACGUGCCAGCAGCCGCGGUAAUACGUAGGGCGCGAGCGUUGUCCGGAAUUAUUGGGCGUAAAGGGCUUGUAGGCGGCUUGUUGCGCCUGCUGUGAAAACGCGGGGCUUAACUUCGCGCGUGCAGUGGGUACGGGCAGGCUUGAGUGUGGUAGGGGGGACUGGAAUUCCAGGUGUAGCGGUGGAAUGCGCAGAUAUCUGGAGGAACACCGAUGGCGAAGGCAGGUCACUGGGCCAUGACUGACGCUGAGGAGCGAAAGAAUGGGUAGCGAACAGG
rnacentral:rRNA from 1 species